rfam:Ipomoea nil DNA, scaffold: scaffold0980, cultivar: Tokyo-kokei standard.
GUGCUUGUGGCCUAAUGGAUAAGGUAUUUGACUUCUAAUCAAACGAUUGUGGGUUCAAGUCCCACUAGGCGUG